GUUCUUUGGUUUUCAAAUGUGACCACCUAAGUUUCUAACUUUUUGACGGCAGACAACCAAGAAAUAAAGAGAGAGCGACUACAGAGAUGAGGGGUUUUCAGGCGAUGUUCACGGCAAUACUGCUGACCGUCUACUACGGCGUAACCAACAGUCAUGAAGAUUCUGGGGUUGUAGGUGUAAAUUGGAGGACCUAAUCAGUGAUGUUGAUGUUUAGUUCGAGAAACCCUAAGCCACAAGAACCCCUCAUCUCUAAUCGGAGUGAACAUAAAAUGAUCGGCGAGACUAGGUGUUUUUGUGGCAAGGUCGUGUUCUUGAUGAUCUAAUGGUUGUCGAGCAGCGGAGACGAAGGAAACAACCACGCUGACGACAACGAUGGUUAUCUAGGGUUCCAAAUGUUGGUCGAUGGCGGCGGUAGUUCCCACGAAGACCUAGCCGCCGACUCCGGAGAUGGCGUCUAGGAUUCCGAUUGGAACUCCGCCACAAGAAGAAUAUGGUUUGACUUAUGAUCAGUAAAACCAUCAAACCAACGAGUUCUUAGACCAUGAAACCAAUGAGGUUGAGGGUCAAGAUGAAAGUUCUGACAAAGAUCAAAUCGAGAACCAUGUGUGUCCUGCUUCUGUGACUGAACCUUUGUAUGAUAAUGGCCCUUAUGAGCACAAUGAAGGAAAUAAGAUUCACAUAUUUGAAGCAAAAAUCGCGGUUUGAAGUACAAACAGAUGUGAUAAGUAUUAGGUUAUGAUGGAGGUUUAAUCAAAUUAGAGUAUCUGGUAUCUGUUCUGCUCAUCACACUCACAUGUGUUGGAGGGCUAGGUUUUUUUGAAGGUUGAGAACUAUAGACUAUUUAAUGGUAAGCAUCCUUUUGGUUUAAUUUAUAGAUUUUGUAUGUAGGAAGUGAAUUUUAUGAGAGCAUAUGGUACCUGUUCUACUCAUCAUAUUCGCAGGGGUUGCAGGGAUAGGGUUUUUUGAAGGUUGACUAUCGGCUAUUUAACGCCUCAGUUAUACAAAUGUGAGUGUGUAAUGAAACAGUGAUAUUUUUGUUUAUUCCUUCUUAAAUGUGAAUUAGAAUUACCUAUGUUAGAUGAUAUGAACUGGAUGCUUUGUAUACAGCGUAAAAUUUUUCCAAUGGUUGAUU
rnacentral:lncRNA from 1 species